GACGAACGCUGGCGGCGUGCUUAACACAUGCAAGUCGAGCGGUAAGGCCCUUUCGGGGGUACGACGAGCGGCGAACGGGUGAGUAACACGUGGGUGACCUGCCCUCAGCUCUGGGAUAAGCCCGGGAAACUGGGUCUAAUACUGGAUAUGACUCCAUGACGCAUGUUGUGGGGUGGAAAGCCUUGUGCGGCUGGGGAUGGGCCCGCGGCCUAUCAGCUUGUUGGUGGGGUGAUGGCCUACCAAGGCGACGACGGGUAGCCGGCCUGAGAGGGCGACCGGCCACACUGGGACUGAGACACGGCCCAGACUCCUACGGGAGGCAGCAGUGGGGAAGUCUUGCGCAAUGGGCGAAAGCCUGACGCAGCGACGCCGCGUGAGGGAUGA
rnacentral:rRNA from 1 species